rnacentral:rRNA from 1 species
GACGAACGCUGGCGGCGUGCUUAACACAUGCAAGUCGAACGGAAAGGCCCUGCUUUUGUGGGGUGCUCGAGUGGCGAACGGGUGAGUAACACGUGAGUAACCUGCCCUUGACUUUGGGAUAACUUCAGGAAACUGGGGCUAAUACCGGAUAGGAGCUCCUGCUGCAUGGUGGGGGUUGGAAAGUUUCGGCGGUUGGGGAUGGACUCGCGGCUUAUCAGCUUGUUGGUGGGGUAGUGGCUUACCAAGGCUUUGACGGGUAGCCGGCCUGAGAGGGUGACCGGCCACACUGGGACUGAGAUACGGCCCAGACUCCUACGGGAGGCAGCAGUGGGGAAUAUUGCACAAUGGGCGGAAGCCUGAUGAAGCAACGCCGCGUGCGGGAUGACGGCCUUCGGGUUGUAAACCGCCUUCGCCUGUGACGAAGCGUGAGUGACGGUAAUGGGUAAAGAAGCACCGGCUAACUACGUG